rnacentral:rRNA from 1 species
AGGACGAACGCUGGCGGCGUGCUUAACACAUGCAAGUCGAGCGGUAAGGCCUUUCGGGGUACACGAGCGGCGAACGGGUGAGUAACACGUGGGUGAUCUGCCCUGCACUCUGGGAUAAGCUUGGGAAACUGGGUCUAAUACCGGAUAUGACUACAGCAUGCAUGUGUUGUGGUGGAAAGAUUUAUCGGUGCAGGAUGGGCCCGCGGCCUAUCAGCUUGUUGGUGGGUAAUGGCCUACCAAGGCGACGACGGGUAGCCGACCUGAGAGGGUGACCGGCCACGACUGGGACUGAGACACGGCCCAGACUCCUACGGGAGGCAGCAGUGGGAAUAUGCACAAUGGCGAAGCCUGAUGCAGCGACGCCGCGUGAGGGAUGGAAGGCCUUCGGGUUGUAAACCUCUUUACAGCAGGACGAAGCGUGAGUGACGGUACCUGCAGAAGAAGCACCGGCUAACGUACGUGCCAGCAGCCGCGGUAAUCUGAGCGGUACG